GACGAACGCUGGCGGCGUGCCUAAUACAUGCAAGUAGAACGCACAGUUUAUACCGUAGCUUGCUACACCAUAGACUGUGAGUUGCGAACGGGUGAGUAACGCGUAGGUAACCUGCCUGGUAGCGGGGGAUAACUAUUGGAAACGAUAGCUAAUACCGCAUAAUAUUGAUUAUUGCAUGAUAAUUGAUUGAAAGAUGCUAUUGCAUCACUACCAGAUGGACCUGCGUUGUAUUAGCUAGUAGGUGAGGUAACGGCUCACCUAGGCGACGAUACAUAGCCGACCUGGGAGGGUGAUCGGCCACACUGGGACUGAGACACGGCCCAGACUCCUACGGGAGGCAGCAGUAGGGAAUCUUCGGCAAUGGACGAAAGUCUGACCGAGCAACGCCGCGGGAGUGAAGAAGGUUUUCGGAUCGUAAAGCUCUGUUGUAAGAGAAGAACGGGUGUGAGAGUGGAAAGUUCACACUGUGACGGUAUCUUACCAGAAAGAGACGGCUAACUACGUG
rnacentral:rRNA from 1 species